rnacentral:rRNA from 1 species
CGGGAUCCAGUCUUCGGAUUGGUGAGAGUGGCGGACGGGUGAGAAACGCGUGGGAACCUGCCCAUUGGUUCGGGACAACCGCGGGAAACUGCGGCUAAUACCGGAUGAGCUCUAGCGAGGAAAGAUUUAUCGCCGAUGGAGGGGCCCGCGUCCGAUUAGGUAGUUGGUGGGGUAAAAGCCUACCAAGCCGACGAUCGGUAGCUGGUCUGAGAGGAUGAUCAGCCACACUGGGACUGAGAUACGGCCCAGACUCCUACGGGAGGCAGCAGUGGGGAAUAUUGGACAAUGGGGGCAACCCUGAUCCAGCAAUGCCGCGUGAGUGACGAAGGCCUUAGGGUUGUAAAGCUCUUUUGCCAGGGACGAUGAUGACGGUACCUGGAGAAUAAGCCCCGGCUAACUUCGUGCCAGCAGCCGCGGUAAUA